ensembl:lncRNA ZNF767P zinc finger family member 767, pseudogene
GCGUGGGGCCGCGCGCAGCAGCGGCGACGACUUUAUCUGGGCCGCGGGGGACAGCGCAGGGCCAUGGAGGAGGCGGCCGCAGCUCCGAUUUCUCCGUGGACGAUGGCAGCCACGAUUCAGGCCAUGGAGAGGAAGAUUGAAUCGCAGGCUGCUCACCUGCUUUCCCUAGAAGGUCAAACCGGGAUGGCCGAGAAGAAGCUGGCUGAUUGCGAGAAGACAGCCGUGGAGUUCGGGAACCAGCUGGAGGGCAAGUGGGCCGUGCUGGGGACCCUGCUGCAGGAGUACGGGCUGCUGCAGAGGCGGCUGGAGAACGUGGAGAACCUGCUGCACAACAGGAACUUCUGGAUCCUGCGGCUGCCCCCGGGCAGCAAGGGGGAGUCCCCUAAGGUGCCUAUGACAUUUGAUGAUGUGGCUGUGUAGUUCUCUGAGCAAGUGUGGGGCAAGCUGGAGGACUGGCAGAAGGAGCUCUGCAAGCACGUGAUGAGGGGCAACUGCGAGAUGCUGGUCUCUUUGGACUACGCCAUCUCCAAGUCCGAGGUCCUCUCCCAGAUUGAACAAGGGAAGGAGCCCUGCAACUGGCGCCGCCCUGACCCCAAGAUUCCAGAUGUUCCUGUGGACCCCAGUCCAGAUGCAGAAACUGAGGCCCAGCAGAGAUUGAGUAACUUAUGCGAGUUGUCACUCACCUCACACGCCCCAGCAAGCAUCCAGGAGAGCCUGCCUCUUGGAAUAGAAAUCAGACAUCCCACAGGAACUCUGAGGUUUUCCCACUGCUGCCAGAUGUAUGCAAGGAACACGUGAUCUUCGUAAUUCCAGAGCGGGGCAAACUGCUUGGCACCUCUUCAAUAGGUGACAUUCAAUGAAUCUCUGGCUUCCUGCUCUGUUUGUUCUGGUUGCCCUGGAAAGCCUGCUGCUCAGCCCAUGCCCCGGGACUUCCUCCACCCUCACCAGGACAUUCUUUCCAUCUCUUGUCUCCUGUGUGCAAGUCCCUUUCUCCUGGAUUCCAUGUCUUGAAUGUUUCUUAAUUUACUUCCUCAUUUUGGCAGAGGAUGUCCUCCAGUUGUUUUCUGGGAAUGCUAAUAUGCAAGUGAACCAGUGACCUGCAGUUCUGCCCACACAGGGUUAAUAACCAAUCAGAUUCUCUCUUUUCAAGAUGGUUAACAUAACAGACACCAAGAAAGGGAAGAGGAGCCGACAGCAGAGGGGGAAGCUGAAAAGACGCACAAAGAAUGGCCAUAAAAGAUAUGAGCAACCCCAGCUUUCCAGACAGUCACUUUUCCCAGUGGUCAUACCUGGUCUGGAAGAUUCCCCAUCAUCUCGAAUAAAGCUGUUGUUGCUUUUAACUCCAUGGAGAGACCGAAUGGAGUGAGCCCAGCAGGGCAUGCUGGGCAAGAGAGGUCCCCCGAGUCCCAAAUAAGAAUUUCAACUAGUAUAAAACGAGGCAGCGAACCCACACGUGGAAGUCUGAUACCGCUUGCAGAAGGGAAUUGAAUAGAUGUCUCCCUAUUGGUAAGGAUGUGGUUUUAUUGACUUGAAAUAACAAAGCCCGCAAGCAACAACUGAUCAUCCGCGGGAUGCUGCCACAAGGAAUAAUUGAGCACUCAUUCAGACACAGGGGA